AAAGUUACUUGUUGAAGCUGAUAUAGCUAGAAAAAUUUUAGGUAUUUUUAAAACAUACAUGUUGAUUGAUUCACUGUUGAAGUUUCAGAAGGAUGUUCCAAACUAUGAUUAGAAAGGUUUUAUAUAUUUGAAUUUUAGCCUAACAUUCCUCUGAUAUUUGAUAAGAAAUAUAUCGGUACAUUAUUUUUGUGGAAGGGUUGUAGAAGGAUAACACCUAUGCAUAACCGGCCUUGAUAUUGGCAGUGAUCCAGCAUGUUAAGAAUAUUGGUCACACUUCGUCGUAGGUUACUGUAGACCAGGGGUGUGUUCGCCACAUCACACUCACCUGUCCAGCCAUUACUCUCAUCAGGUAGUAAUUAUAUUGAACACUGAGCUGAGACAUGAAAAUGAAAAUUGAAAGUAUCAUCAAAACUAAGUUUCAUAAAGAUUCUUCAUUUAUACGUUUGAUAAUUUUCAUGAUUUAAUUGAAUUUAAUGAGUAUUUCUUUACUUGUGUAAAUACUACUGGAAGAGGUACAUGUGAAUCUGUAAAUAUUGCCAAUAAGGUGAUGAAUUAGCAAAACAUAUAAAAGUAAUAAUCAAAUUUAAUGUCUUAAACAGGUGACAAAGAUUUACCCCAGACUACUGAUUCACCUGUCUGUGCUUCCACUCGACUUAUGGGCUGAGACACCUUUAUGGCUUCAGCUAUUAUCAUGAUUAUUACAGAGUAGCAUCACUCAUUACACUAUAGUCUUCCAAAUAUGUCGAGGCCGGUCUGGCGUAUACUCCCGCAGAGCAGAGGGGAGAAAUGGACACGCGGGAGCCAACGCCAAAACGGACUUGACACUUUGGUUUCACUAUAGCAUUAAAACAUGAAUAUAUAUCCUCAUUUAUCAUGUCUUUAAUUUUGUUUCGUAUUUUUCUUUAUAGUUUAUUUGAGCUUCAAAUGAGCCUUCAUAUGAAAAAAUUAUGCCAACUUAGGCAUACUUGUGUAGUUUAACAAAGUUAUAUCCAGUGAAGCAUAAUGAAAUAUGUCACUGCAUGUCCAAAACUCACCCCUUCCUCUUUUUUUCACCAAAGAUGAGCCAUUAAGUAUUCAGGAUGUGCAAUAGCUGAGGAUUUGUUUAGUGUGUGGGGGUGAGUCCAAAGAUGCUCAAUAUCAGGGCCUGGUAUAGCAUAUGGUUGAUGAAAUUUAGUACAUGUGUGUGCUGGGAGAUAACUUAUUUCCAGGCGUUUAUCCAUCAUUGACCAUGGAACUUGAGGGAUGGGAAGCCAGGGUGCUGUGAGGGGUGGUAAACUUACGUAAUUACGGAAUCUCUAGGCAUUUUGUAUAUACAUCUUCAGCAGCAAUAUAUACAAUUGUUAAUUGAAAUCUUGGUCAAAAUCAGUUUAUUAAUGGAAGAUCAUCAUUUAGUUAUGAGAAAGAAGCUGUAAUGAAACAGACUGCAUGGCUAACUAAACCAGUAAACCUGCUGUACAUGCCACAAGUCUGGUUAACGGUCCACUGAUUGGUAUUCAUUUAUUUGCACUUAGUUUGUGCUAGUCUUCAGUACAAUUGGCCCCAUUGACAUGAGUUCUUUACCUUAUGAACAGCAGAACAUACCCUUCAGCUUAUUCUUGCUAGUCAGAGGAUUUCAGAGAACAUUAUGCAGGUGCACAUAACAUUUUUAGCUCUGAGCCCAUUUUUGUAUGAUUUCACUAUGGGUCAUUUAUCUUAACGUAUUUGUCAGCUUACAAGAUGCACCCCAGUUUCAAGUUCUAUAUCCUGAAAAAUAUUAAAAAUGAUAUCCUGACCUUGGCCACGUUUACUAAGACGUUUUUCAGUUGUUAAUGACUUGCAGUGCUUGUCUACCAUAUGCUACUGGAUCAGCACUAUAAUGCAGUAUGUAUGGGUACAAUGCACACGUAUACCAUAUUGUAACAACAGCACCAUGGGAAGGUGACCUGCAAGCUAUGGAAGUUUGUUUAUCAUUGGUUGGUCUUAUUCUUGACUUGUGGCACUUGGCCCAUAAGCAAGACCAAGGCUUGUAGAGGGAGUGUGUGGCACUUGUCAUGCAUUUCAUUUAUAAGAUAGUCGUGAUGAGAAUUAUUCUCAGAGCUUGGAAGUUCCCAGUGUAACUGAGGCUGAAGUAAAAAAUAUUUUGAAGGAAAUGAGUAUGGGCAAAUAAGAAGAUGGCAGGCACUCAGAUGGCAGGGCAUAGAUGAACCAUGCAUACAGUUGGUGGAAGAUAAAUAAAGACAGCACAGCAAUUAUUAAACUUUGAAAGAAAAUGGAAAAAUUCCAAUUAAGAAAGCAAUAGUCAAGGUGACACAAUGUUUUGAUACAUGAAAUGUAUCCACUUGUUGAUGGAGCAUACUGCCCAAGGUUAACUUUUUGCAAAAAGCUACCAAAUAUUCUCUAUUUAUUACUAUUACUAUUAUUAAGCUGAAUAUAUAAUUUAUUUAAUGGAGCGGUGCCCUGUUGGGUUAGUAUCUGUUGUACGUAAGGCUUGAAACCCAAUAUACCAUUCAUUAGACCAGACUGAUCAUCAUCAGCAGCAGCAAUGGCAGGAACUUAGAAAUGGCUUCUUUCCAGGAUUUCAUCAUUCCAUAAAAGUUAUUUUUACAGUUAAUAUUUCAUACUGUAUAUACAUAUAUUAAUGAUAAUGCACUGUAUAUGAAUAUGAAUAGUUUCAUAAUUUUGAAUGUGUAUCAUUGUCAAUGGAUUUCUUUCAUACACACCUCCCUGUGUAUAAUGUUUAAGAUUCUACAUUUGUGUGUAAAAAUGGUAUCUACAUUGUCUUGAUGUUGAUUUCUUGUAGUCAUUAUUUAAUUCAUUUUAAUGAGUAUUAUAUAGUGUUAGUCUGUUGCAACCAUUUCUUCACUCAGUGCUUCCUUUAAUAUAAACUUUAAUAUGGUAGAAUUCUUCAGUAUUGAAAUUGAUGCCAGUA